AUUGAACGCUGGCGGCAGGCCUAACACAUGCAAGUCGAACGAGUGGCGGACGGGUGUGUAAUGUCUGGGACACUGCCUGAUGGAGGGGGAUAACUACUGGAAACGGUAGCUAAUACCGCAUACCAUCGGAUGAGCCCAGAUGGGAUUAGCUAGUAGGUGGGGUAAAGGCUUACCGAGGCGACGAUCCCUAGCCGGUCUGAGAGGAUGACCGGCCACACUGGAACUGAGACACGGUCCAGACUCCUACGGGAGGCAGCAGUGGGGAAUAUUGCACAAUGGGCGCAAGCCUGAUGCAGCCAUGCCGCGUGUAUGAAGAAGGCCUUCGGGUUGUAAAGUACUGUCAGCAGGGAGGCGUUACCCGCAGAGAAAGCCCCGGCUAACUCCGUGCCAGCAGCCGCGGUAAUUC
rnacentral:rRNA from 1 species